rnacentral:rRNA from 1 species
UACGUAGGGUGCGAGCGUUGUCCGGAAUUAUUGGGCGUAAAGAGCUCGUAGGCGGUUUGUUCGCGUCUAUCGUGAAAACUGGAAGGCUCAACCUUCAGAGGUCGACCGAAACCAUCUGGCUAGAGUCCGGGAGAGGAGAGUGGAAUUCCUGGUGUAGCGGUGAAAUGCGCAGAUAUCAGGAAGAACACCCGUGGCGAAAGCGGCUCUCUGGAAACGGUACUGAUGCUGAGACGCGAAAAGCGUGGGGGAGCGAACAGG